UGGGGAAUAUUGCGCAAUGGGCGGAAGCCUGACGCAGCGACGCCGCGUGGGGGAUGACGGCCUUCGGGUUGUAAACCUCUUUCAGCAGGGACGAAGCGAGAGUGACGGUACCUGCAGAAGAAGCACCGGCCAACUACGUGCCAGCAGCCGCGGUAAUACGUAGGGUGCAAGCGUUGUCCGGAAUUAUUGGGCGUAAAGAGCUCGUAGGCGGUUUGUUGCGUCGGCUGUGAAAUCCCGAGGCUCAACCUCGGGUCUGCAGUCGAUACGAGCAAACUAGAGUGUUGCAGGGGAGACUGGAAUUCCUGGUGUAGCGGUGAAAUGCGCAGAUAUCAGGAGGAACACCGGUGGCGAAGGCGGCGAUCUGGACGAUGACUGACGCUGAGACGCGAAAGCGUGGGGAGCAAAC
rnacentral:rRNA from 1 species